GAAGAUUUCAUCGGGUUGUAGUUCACGAAAAUAUAACCGCGCCCCUGAUCAAUGAUAUGGAACAGCGGAUUCCAGUCGAACAGGGCAACCAUAUGCGCGGGCAACGUGUUGGCCACAAACAUCUUGCCUGACGCAAACAUAUUCGCGCGCG
rnacentral:ncRNA from 1 species